CCUACGGGAGGCAGCAGUAGGGAAUCUUCCGCAAUGGACGAAAGUCUGACGGAGCAACGCCGCGUGAGCGAAGAAGGCCUUCGGGUCGUAAAGCUCUGUUGUUAGGGAAGAACAAGUGCCAGAGUAACUGCUGGCACCUUGACGGUACCUAACCAGAAAGCCACGGCUAACUACGUGCCAGCAGCCGCGGUAAUACGUAGGUGGCAAGCGUUGUCCGGAAUUAUUGGGCGUAAAGCGCGCGCAGGUGGUUCCUUAAGUCUGAUGUGAAAGCCCACGGCUCAACCGUGGAGGGUCAUUGGAAACUGGGGGACUUGAGUGCAGAAGAGGAAAGUGGAAUUCCAAGUGUAGCGGUGAAAUGCGUAGAGAUUUGGAGGAACACCAGUGGCGAAGGCGACUUUCUGGUCUGUAACUGACACUGAGGCGCGAAAGCGUGGGGAGCGAACAGGAUUAGAUACCCUGGUAGUCCACGCCGUAAACGAUGAGUGCUAAGUGUUAGAGGGUUUCCGCCCUUUAGUGCUGCAGCUAACGCAUUAAGCACUCCGCCUGGGGAGUACGGCCGCAAGGCUGAAACUCAAAGGAAUUGACGG
rnacentral:rRNA from 1 species